rnacentral:tRNA from 1 species
GGGCCCGUAGCGCAAUGGACAGCGCGCUUGGCUUCGGAUGGUGGAACCUGAUAAGUAGUUCUCGUUUUCGCCAGCAGACACCAAGAGGUUGUGGGUUCGAAUCCUGCCGGGCCCG